rnacentral:lncRNA from 1 species
GGGGGGGGGGGGGGGGGGGGGGGGGGGGGGGGGGGGGGGGGGGGGGGGGGGGGGGGGGGGGGGGGGGGGGCCCUGUCCGGCUGGAGCCGCCUGAGGCGGGGGAUGUCGGCGGAGCCGGGCUGGAGGGAUCUCGGAGAGCCUUCUCCAAACCACAAACACAAAAAUGCCCCCUCGGUCAGGACCCCGGAAAAGUGCAGCGGCAGGCCCCAAAUGAGGACUGGUCAGUGCCAUGUGAAUGCCAGGAAGCUGUGCCUGGAUUUCACCGUGAUGGCAGAUGAACUCCAGGCCAUUCAUCAGCUGUGUGCUCACCCACGGCCAUUUGUGGCAAGUCUUGGGCUGGUGGAGGGACUUAGCAAAAAGCAAAAGCUGGAACUUCUUUGUUGGAGGAGAAGGAAUGUCAGAGAAGGGUUCAAUGUGAAAACCACUGCAUGCGCUUUCAGCACUGCACUCACGGUCCAGCUCUGGCCCUUGGAAGGGCGUCGCUCACUGCGGAGCUGCUGCAGCACCCGAGGUCUGAACCCAUGGAUUCAGCAUGGAGAGCCCUCAUGUCCAGCAGCCAGGUGGAGCAGACUGCUGGGAAAAGGGACUUCGGUGUGUGACAGCGAGAUUCACCAGUGCCCCUUCCACCACUGCAUAUCAGCCUGGAUGUAA